AAGAACGAGACAGGUGGUGCAUGGUUGUCGUCAGCUCGUGUCGUGAGAUGUUGGGUUAAGUCCCGCAACGAGCGCAACCCUUAUCUUCAGUAGCCAGCGGUUCGGCCGGGCACUCUGGAGAGACUGCCAGGGAUAACCUGGAGGAAGGUGGGGAUGACGUCAAAUCAUCAUGCCCCUUAUGGGCAGGGCUACACACGUGCUACAAUGGCGUAAACAAAGGGAGGCAGAGCCGCGAGGCCGAGCAAAUCUCAAAAAUAACGUCUCARUUCGGAUUGUAGUCUGCAACUCGACUACAUGAAGCUGGAAUCGCUAGUAAUCGCGAAUCAGAAUGUCGCGGUGAAUACGUUCCCGGGUCUU
rnacentral:rRNA from 1 species